UAAUCUAUUUAGGGCAAGUCUUUUUCUAGUUAUGACAAACACACAUUUGACGUCUCAUAAUUAUCCGUGAAAACUAUUGUGUGAAUAGUGACUAGCAAAACUGGACA
rfam:Populus trichocarpa scaffold_10_contig_202, whole genome shotgun sequence.